rnacentral:rRNA from 1 species
GACGCACGCUGGCGGCGUGCCUAAUACAUGCAAGUAGAACGCUGAAGGCGGAUCUUGCUCUUCUGGCUGAGUUGCGAACGGGUGAUUAACGCGUAGGUAACCUGCCUGGUAGCGGGGGAUAACUCUUGGAAACGAUAGCUAAUACCGCAUAACAGUACAUGCUGCAUGACAUUUUCUUAAAACUUCCAAUUGCCUCACUACCAGAUGGACCUGCGUUGUAUUAGCUAGUUGGUGGGGUAACGGCUCACCAAGGCGACGUUACAUAGCCGACCUGGGGGGGGGAUCGGCCAGACUGGGACUGAGACAGGGCCCAGACUCCAACAGGAGGGAGCAGUAGCGAAUUUUCGGCAAUGGACGUAAGACUGACCGAGCAACGCCGAGUGAGUGACGAAGCUUGUCGGAUCGUAAAGCUCUGUUGUAGGAGAAGAACGAGUGUGCGAGUGGAAGGGUCACUCUGUGACGGUAUCUGACCAGAAAGGGACGGAUAACUACGUG